GACGAACGCUGGCGGCGUGCUUAACACAUGCAAGUCGAACGGAAAGGCCCUGCUUUUGUGGGGUGCUCGAGUGGCGAACGGGUGAGUAACACGUGAGUAACCUGCCCUUGACUUUGGGAUAACUUCAGGAAACUGGGGCUAAUACCGGAUAGGAGCUCCUGCUGCAUGGUGGGGGUUGGAAAGUUUCGGCGGUUGGGGAUGGACUCGCGGCUUAUCAGCUUGUUGGUGGGGUAGUGGCUUACCAAGGCUUUGACGGGUAGCCGGCCUGAGAGGGUGACCGGCCACAAUGGGACUGAGAUACGGCCCAGACUCCUACGGGAGGCAGGAGGGGGGAAUAUUGCACAAUGGGCGGAAGCCUGAUGCAGCAACGCCGCGUGCGGGAUGACGGCCUUCGGGUUGUAAACCGCUUUCGCCUGUGACGAAGCGUGAGUGACGGUAAUGGGUAAAGAAGCACCGGCUAACUACGUG
rnacentral:rRNA from 1 species